UACAGAGGGUGCAAACGUUGUUCGGAAUCACUGGGCAUAAAGCGUAUGUAGGCGGCUCCGUAAGUGUCGGGUGAAAUCCCACGGCCUACCCGUGGAACUGUUCGGCAUACUGCGGAGCUAGAGGAUGGUAGAGGAGAGCGGAACUCUUGGUGGGGCGGUGAAAUGCGUAGAUAUCAAGAGGAACACCGGUGGCGAAGGCGGCUCUCUGGUCCAUUACUGACGCUGAGGUACGAAAGCUAGGGGAGCAAACGGG
rnacentral:rRNA from 1 species